UGGGGAAUAUUGCACAAUGGGCGCAAGCCUGAUGCAGCGACGCCGCGUGAGGGAUGGAGGCCUUCGGGUUGUAAACCUCUUUCGCCAGUGAAGCAGGCCAUCUUCUUUGUGGGGUGGUUGACGGUAGCUGGAUAAGAAGCGCCGGCUAACUACGUGCCAGCAGCCGCGGUAAUACGUAGGGCGCGAGCGUUGUCCGGAAUUAUUGGGCGUACAGAGCUCGUAUGCGGCUGGUCGCGUCUGUCGUGAAAUCCCCUGGCUUAACUGGGGGCUUGCGGUGGGUACGGGCCGGCUUGCGUGCGGUAGGGGAGUCUGGAAUUCCUGGUGUAGCGGUGGAAUGCGCAGAUAUCAGGAGGAACACCGGUGGCGAAGGCGGGUCUCUGGGCCGUUACUGACGCUGAGGAGCGAAAGCGUGGGGAGCGAACAGG
rnacentral:rRNA from 1 species